UACGUAGGUGGCAAGCGUUAUCCGGAAUUAUUGGGCGUAAAGCGCGCGCAGGUGGUUUCUUAAGUCUGAUGUGAAAGCCCACGGCUCAACCGUGGAGGGUCAUUGGAAACUGGGAGACUUGAGUGCAGAAGAGGAAAGUGGAAUUCCAUGUGUAGCGGUGAAAUGCGUAGAGAUAUGGAGGAACACCAGUGGCGAAGGCGACUUUCUGGUCUGUAACUGACACUGAGGAGCGAAAGCGUGGGGAGCGAACAGG
rnacentral:rRNA from 1 species